rnacentral:lncRNA from 1 species
GAGAUUCUGAAUCUCAAAACCAAUGAAAGUUUCAAAAGUUGAAAAAUUGACUUUCAUCCUUGAAUCCAGUGUACAAGUAAGCUGGUAACUCUCAGACCAAGAUUCAGCACCCCUGAGACUUGAGAAACCGUGAGUCCACUAAGGAGACACAGUCUAGAGGAUGGAUGGAAGGUCUCAUACACAGAUCAAGUCCACAGUUGAGAUUGUUAUUUGCCUCUUCUCUUCUGCCUGGGCACUGCCAAAGAAAAAAGGAGAUUGUAGCAAUUCACUGGACCCAGAACCUAGUUGAGGGAGCAUUGUGACAUGCCACUGGGCUCAGCACCCAGGUGAUGUUCCUCUCCUGCCUGGUCCCUUCCAUCAGGGAAUAUUGUACAAAUCUCUGGCCAAGCACCCAGUUGAUGUGACUCUCCUGCUCACUACCUACUCACAGGUUACAUGUCCCAUGUCGCAGAAAAUGUUGUAAUGUAUUGCUGGACCCAGUCACCAGAUGAUGUGUCUCUCCUGCCAAGGCUGUGCCCACAGAGAGCAUUUUGACAUAUCACUGGGCUCAGCACCCAGGUGAAAUGACUCUGCUGCCUGUACUCUGCUUUAAGAGGGGAUUGUAAUAUAUCUGUGGCUGAGCACCUAGGUGAGAUGACUUCUGCGUGGUUUCUGACCUCAGGAAAGAUUGUGACAUAUCUUUGCCGAAAACCUACAUGAUGUGAAUCUGCUGCUCACUUCCUACCGACAGUCUCCAAAGUUAUCAGAAACCUGCAUUUAAAAAUACCUGGCAAAGUUCCAUAGCGGACCAUAAAUCACCUCUUGAAGAGGAUCGAAUCAAGACAACAAUUGUCUGAGGGAUUGAGACAAUUCUGGAAGCCCAGCACCUAGGUGAUGUGACUUUCAUCUUUUGUUUGGACCGUGUGCACAAAAGGAAGAGUGGCUUAUCACUGGACCUCACACACAGGAGGUAUUGUGACAUAUUCCUGGAGCAAGUACCCAGGUAAUGUAACUCUUUUCUACUGCUUGGACUCUACCCAAGGAGAGAUUCUAAUGUAUCACUGGACCCAGCACCUAGGUUACGUGACUUUCCUCUUGUGUCUGAGUCUUGCAUAAAUUGUGUAUUGUGACAAAUCUCUGGGUCUAAAACCUAGGUGAUGAGACUCUUAUGCAUGAGCCCUGCUUACAGGGAUAUUAUGACAUAUCUUUUUUUUUUAAUCACCUAUGUGAUGUGCCUUUGUUUGUGUGUGUGUGUGUGUGUGCGUCCUGGCCCUGCCAAAAGUGGGGAUUGUAACAUAUCAUUAAACUUAGUACCAAGGUGUUAUGACUCACCUUGUUUGCCUGGGCCCUGCAUAUAUUUGGUAAUGUGACGUAUGGCUGAGACAAACACCUAGGGCAUGAGAGCCUUGUGCCUGGGUCCUGCCCACAAGGAGCCUUUUGGCUUAUCUCUGCAUCCAUGAACUAGGAGAUGUGACUCUUCUUUUCUGUCUGGGUUCUGCAAAAACAAGUGAUUGUGACAUAUCAUCAAACCCAGCAACUAGACGAUGUGAUUUUUCUUCCCUGCUUGAGCCCUGGAUAUGCUGUGCAUUGUGAUAUAUGGCUGGGUCCAACAUCAAGGAGAGAUUGUGACAUAUCUCUGGAACCAGAACCUUGGUGAUGUGACUCUUCUCUCCUGCUGAAGCCAUGCCCACACAAGGGAAAGUGACUUAUCACUGGGCCCAGCACACAGCGCUAUUCACAGGGAAAAUAGUGACACAUCUGUGGGGUUCUCACCGAAAUGAUGUGACUCUCUUGCCUGGGCUCACCUCUCAAGGGAAUUUUGACAUAUUACUGGACCAAGCACCUAGGCCCUGCAUUUAUUGUGUAUUGUGACAUAUGGCUUGGUCCAACACCUAGGUGGUGUGACUCUCUACUUCUUCCUGUGCCAUGCCAAAGAAGAGGAUUGUGACAUAUCACUGGAUCCAGCACCUAGGAUGCAUAUGCCAGAUUUCCAGGCCCAUCACCUAGAUGAUGAGACUCUCCUCUUCUUUCUGGGACCAAUACACAGUGGGAAUUGUGAUGCAUCGUUUAGCUCAGCAGCUACAUGAUGUGACCCUCUUCUCAUGAGAUUCCUGCCCACUUGGGUAAUUGCAACAUAUAAUGUAGCCGAGUUUCUAGGAUACCUGACUCUUCUCUUAUUCCUGAGACUUACACAGAAUCGGCAACAUCUCUGAUCUUCUCACCUAGGAGACAUGACCCAAAAAGGGAUUAUGACAUAUCUCUGAGCCCAACACCCAAAUGUUGUGACUCUCCUGCCUGGGCUGUGCCUAGAGAAAAUAUAAUAUGUCACUGGGCCCUGCAUGCAAGUGAUCUGAUUCUCCAGCCUGGGCCUUGCCCACAGGGGAGAUUGAGACAUAUUCCAGGUGGAUGGUGACUCUAAGACCAGGAUUCAACACAACUAGAAGGCUUUGACUCUAAUACGAGUCACAGAAGGCUCUGCGACUCUUCUAUUUUCUCUAGGUUAUGCAAAUGGAGGUGGAUUGUGACAUAUCAUAGGGCCAACACAACACACAGUCUACAGGUGGAAUUGGGACUCUCAUGCAUGGAUCCAGUUCAUCAUUGAUACUGUGACUCAGGUGGGAUUUUGACAUAUAACUGCACCCAGCACACAGUGGUCCAUUACAUUGAUGACAUUAUGCUGAUUGAAUCCAGUAAGCAAGAAAUAGCAAACACACCAGACUUAUUCAUGAGACGUUUGCAUGCCAGAGGAUGGAAAAUAAGUCUGACUAAAAUUUAGAGACCUUCUAGCUCAGUAAAACUUCCAGGGGUCCAGUGGUCCAAGGCCUGUCAAGAUAGUCCUUCUAAGGUAAAAGGUAAGUUGCUGCAUUUGGCCCAUCCUACAACCAAGAAAGAGGCACAAUGUCUAGUGGGCCUAUUUGGGUUUUGGAGGCAACCUAUUCCUCAUUUGGGUGUGUUACUCUGGCCCAUUUAUUGAGUGACCCAAAAAGCUGCCAGUUCUGAGUGUGGUCCAGAAAAGGAGAAGGCUCUGCAACAGGUCCAGGCUGCUGUGCAAGCUGCUCUGCCACUUGGGCCAUAUUACCCAGGAGAUCCAAUGGAUCUUGAGUUGUCAGUGUAAAAUAAGGAUGCUAUUUGUAGCCUUUGGCAGGCCCCCUUAGGUGAAUCACAGCAGAGGCCUCUAGAAUUUUGUUCUUUC